rnacentral:sRNA from 1 species
CCUGCAGAUCAACCCCGCCUCCUCCAUCAACCCGGACCACCUCACCUACUUUCGCUUUAUAGGCAGAUUCAUCGCCAUGGCGCUGUACCAUGGAAAGUUCAUCGACACGGGCUUCACCCUCCCUUUCUACAAGCGGAUGCUCAAUAAGAGACCAACCCUGAAAGACCUGGAGUCCAUUGACCCUGAGUUCUACAACUCCAUUGUCUGGAUCAAAGAGAACAACCUGGAAGAAUGUGGCCUGGAGCUGUACUUCAUCCAGGACAUGGAGAUACUGGGCAAGGUGACGACCCACGAGCUGAAGGAGGGCGGCGAGAGCAUCCGGGUCACGGAGGAGAACAAGGAAGAGUACAUCAUGUGAGUCUCAGGCGCCGGGGGCUCCGCUCCAGGGGUGGCGUGGAGAUCUAGUGGGUUGCAGAGAAAGAUGGGCCCCCACCUGUGGCCCAUCGGUCACUGUGGAUGCCAUUUGCAUUUGCCUUGAUGGUGGCUGCUGGUGGGCGGUCAUGUGAUGGCGCGAGCUGGGGGAACCAGAGCCGAGGUCCUUAGUUACCGACUCCCAGCUGUGCUUUUUCGCCAUGUGGGAGACUUCAAGCCUGCAGCGUGGAAUUUCUUUGAAGUGGCAUCAAGCUGAGACAUCUGCAUCUUUCUCCGGGCCGAAAGGAUCUCUGUGGCCUGUGUGCCUAGACCCACCGUCUCACGUG